rnacentral:rRNA from 1 species
GACGAACGCUGGCGGCGUGCCUAAUACAUGCAAGUAGAACGCCGAAGGAGGAGCUUGCUUCUCUGGAUGAGUUGCGAACGGGUGAGUAACGCGUAGGUAACCUGCCUGGUAGCGGGGGAUAACUAUUGGAAACGAUAGCUAAUACCGCAUAAGAGUAGAUGUUGCAUGACAUUUGCUUAAAAGGUGCAAUUGCAUCACUACCAGAUGGACCUGCGUUGUAUUAGCUAGUUGGUGAGGUAACGGCUCACCAAGGCAACGAUACAUAGCCGACCUGAGAGGGUGAUCGGCCACACUGGGACUGAGACACGGCCCAGACUCCUACGGGAGGCAGCAGUAGGGAAUCUUCGGCAAUGGACGGAAGUCUGACCGAGCAACGCCGCGUGAGUGAAGAAGGUUUUCGGAUCGUAAAGCUCUGUUGUAAGAGAAGGACGAGUGUGAGAGUGG